GUGCAAAUCACGUGAGCCUGGAUAGAGAGCGGUCGAAUGGUGUACUAUGUGCGCAAUGCCAGCCCGACUGUAUGCGGCGAGAAUACUUCACUGAAUCAUCGCAUGUCCAUUAUAAUGUAGUCCCCUUGCAGAAACUUUUCAUAAACAAACUACUCAAUGGCAUAAACCUGAUGAACUCAACAGUUAUUCGAAUUUUCUAUGCAUCGGAGGCAAAUCAGAUCGUUUACCUGCUAGAAACCAAUCUGCGAUUCUUCGAAGAUAUUGGUUUGAAAAAUAUUUAUCAUAUCUAUACAAUAUAUAAGAAUUCACAAAGUAAUUACCAUAAUCUUACGAUAUUUAAUGAAAAUUUGCCAGCACUGAUGGGCAGCCACUGGAUUCUGCUAAGCGGCGGAAGUAUAUUUGUUAUAUUUCAAGUUAUCUACCACUGCACCAUCAGAUGGCGCCACCACCACAGACGGUCAUAACUAUUUAAAACACAGCACAGGUCAAGGAUCACUUGGCACAUCAGUGACUACGUGUGGUGGAGCUGGCGCAGACGUGGGCCUGUGUGCUGGAUUGUCACCGAUGAUUGCCGGAAUCACCUAAAAAGAAAAUGAAAAUUUAUAUAUUCUUUUCUAUUUGAAUUUUGUUUUAAACUUUUUGACGUUUUAGUCAAAUUCCUUCUUGGUCCAAUAAAAAGCAAGUUGUAUUUUA